CUGUGACGUUUGGUGCUUCCAGGACAUGUGCGCAAGAGGAGGUUUUGAGAGUAUCGGUGCCACCGCAGUCCGGUGACCUUCCGCUGCAGACUCUUUACAGCAGCGACGGUGGCGAUGUCUACGCUUAUGGAUUUAAAGCGAAUUCGAGCUCAGUGAGGUUAACCUUCCAUAACCCUGGUGUACAAGAAGAUCCCAAAUGUGGUCCUCUCAUUGACGCCGUCGCCAUUAAAGAGCUCCUCCCUCCCAGACCUACUCGCCGUAAGUAAACUUCUAAAUCUGAAGAAAACUAUCCAGAUCUGUACUUAGAUCUAACAGCUCGUUGAUUGUUUUCUUUGCAGUUAAUAUCGUGAAAAAUGGCGGAUUUGAGGAAGGACCUCACCGGUUAUUCAACUCCUCCAAUGGCGUCCUCCUCCCUCCUCGACAAGAAGACAUAACAUCUCCUCUCCCCGGAUGGAUCAUCGAGUCUCUAAAAGCCGUUAAGUUCAUCGACAACAAACACUUCAACGUCCCCUCCGGCGUCGCCGCCAUCGAACUAGUCGCCGGAAGAGAAAGCGCCAUCGCACAAAUCCUCCGAACAAUCCCAAACAAACUCUACAGC
rnacentral:lncRNA from 1 species